UACAGAGGUCUCAAGCGUUGUUCGGAUUCAUUGGGCGUAAAGGGUGCGUAGGUGGCGCUGUAAGUCGGGUGUGAAAUUUCGGAGCUUAACUCCGAAACUGCAUUCGAUACUGCGGUGCUUGAGGACUGGAGAGGAGACUGGAAUUCAUGGUGUAGCAGUGAAAUGCGUAGAGAUCAUGAGGAAGACCAGUGGCGAAGGCGGGUCUCUGGACAAGUUCCGUGACGCUGGAGGCACGAAGGCCAGGGGAGCAAACGGG
rnacentral:rRNA from 1 species